GUCAGAAUGGCCGAGCGCUCUAAGGCGCCAGACUCAAGGUUGUGCACCUUCUCCAAAACAGAGAGAUUUCUGGUCUCCGAAUGGAGGCGUGGGUUCAAAUCCCACUUCUGACA
rnacentral:tRNA from 1 species